GACAGUUUAAAUACGACAGUUUUCGAGGGAGAGAGAAGUUACGAGUGGGUAUUUAAAAACCAUUCAAUUCUCAAUAAACAUCUUUAAAAGCGACAAAUUAUAUUUUGAUAAACGUUUCUUAUAAGUGUAUAAUUGUGUUGUUACUACUUCUACCAUGUGAAUUAUUGUACGUGUGCCAAACCGUCGUAUUGAUUUCUUGGAGUUCUAUAAUUUCUGGACGAUCCGCCAUGUUUGUUAUUCUCCUUUACUAUUUUUAGGCGUAUGCAUAAAUGCAUAUGACAUAUGCCCCCUUUGUUACUGUUUUAUUUGGACUUCUGAUUUAGUAAUAAUUAGUUUAGUUCGGUGGUGAAUUAAGUUAAAUUCGUAAAUAAGAAGAUGGAUUUAAUAGUGAAAUCGUAUAGUAAGGAUAACAGAGACAUACCUGUAUCAUUACAUGAAAAACAUAGUCGACCACCUGAAGACACAUCAGGACAUUUAGAUCAAACAACUUCUAAUUCGUGUCGAUGUGAAGAUAUCAAAACAGAGGAAGAUCCCGAUGUUGUGAUAAUUGAACAGACCCCCGAAGAAAUUGCUGUAGAAAAUUUUACAACAAUGACCCGGCCCACUCUACAACAAAUGCUGGGUAUGGAAUCGGAAAACGAGUUUGAAUUUGUAGAGGCGUUAAAAAAAUACAAUGACGUUUUGUCCAGCCUUGCGGAAGGACUAUCCGGCCAAUUAAUGGGGAGUGUUAUUAGCAGAGACAUUCUUUUUAUCACGGCGAACUACAAGAGAAUAGCUAUCGGAUAUAAAGACAAAUUCUUAGAUAUAAUGGAGCAGAUUCUCAAUACUACCUGCGAAUUGAAUAGGAAUUAUUUUGAGACUGCUAUACCGAGAACCAUUAUACCGAAAAUAACAAUAACGGAAUCUAGAAGAAUUAAACUGUUGUUGCAAGCUGGCCUGUUGAACAGGUGUGAUAGGAUAAUGAAUGUUCUGAUUAAUAUACGAAUAUGUGUGGAUAAAAGUGAACACAAAGUUCUGUGGGCUAAUAUUUUUAUAUAUUUCUUGGCUAGAGUUUUUUCUUAUCGGAAUUACGAUGACAUAGCUGCGGGGUUCAUUAUUUUCCAAAAAUUAAUGAAAAUCAAGACGACGCAAGAAGAACGUAACAUAAUCGAAGGGCACAUGUACAGAAUGCUUGGGAGAAACAACUUGUUAAAAAUUCCAGUCGUAAAGGCUAUGAUGGAGAAAAUGGAGAAGGACAGACUGUAUUCUAUCCGCGAUUUGUGCCUCAUUUAUAACAAUUACAAAAAGGAACAAAACCAAAGAAAAAGGGAGGACUAUGGAGAUAUCUCUUCGUCGAGUCGAAGGAGUGUAUUCAGGAAAUUUAACAUGUUCAGUAGCGACAUUGAUAACAGAGGGCGUCGGCGUUCGCUGUUCCAAUCUCAGUUCUAUUCUAGCUCGCCUUUGGCUCAAAUUCUAGCAGACUGGAAGAUGAGCGGCGUAUCAAGUGAGCACAAACAUAGUGAUCGGUGGAGUAAAAGUUAUAUAGAGCAACGACAAGAGAGUAAGAGCAACAACAACGGCGGUACGGAACUGAAGUGGGGCCCUCUCGAAAAUGAAACUGUGAUAGAAAAAUGUACCGAGACAGCACCAGUUAUUAAAAUAGACGACGACGACUCCGACGAUGAUGAUGUACAGUUUUGCACCGACCUAAAUGAAGAUUCCAAAGUAAAAACAUCAUCGGAACCAAAUGAAGAAGCGGACACUAAAUUUGUACCAUACAAAACUGAACUCAUUUUACAUAGUUCUAAGUACACGUCCAAUAACCAACGUAUAGAGGAGGCUUUGCCAGUAAAAGCAACAAGGCUUAAUGGAAUUGGGAAAACUAUUACAGAACUUAGCAAAAAGAACAAUUUAAAAGAAAAUGCCACAGAUUAUCCUGCAAGCAAAACGAAAACAGACUGCCCUUCAGCACCUGUUAAAUCAGAAAAUCAAGUACCGUCUAUCGACAAAACAGGAGACACGGCCAAAAACAGUGAACAAAAUUGGACGGAAAAUAUAGGUAAACCUCUUAGUAAAAAGGACAAAUUAAAAGAGAAUGCCACAGAUAAUCCUGGAAGCCAAACAAACACAGACUGUCCUUCAGCACCGGUCAAUUCAGGAAAUAAAACACCGUCUGUCAACAAAAUAGGAGACACGGCCAAUGACGUGGACAUUGUAUUUGUACCAGAAGAAAAUGAACCCACUUUAAACGGUUCAAAGUGCGGUGAAACGUCUAUGGAAAUUGACGGAAAUCUUUCGAACGUUGAUGCAGUUCAAGAAUCUCCUUUUACUGACGCAUCCCAUAACCAACGUAUAGAAGAAACUUUGCCAGUAAAAGAUAAUGCUGGAACAAUAACAAGGCCUAAUGAAAUUGUGAGACCUAUUACAGAACCUCUUAGUAAAAAGGACAAAUUAAAAGAGAAUGGCACAGAUAAUCCUGGAAGCAAAACAAAUACAGACUGUCCUUCAGCACCGGUUAAUUCAGGAAAUAAAACACCGUCUGUCAACAAAACAGGAGACACGGUCAAUGACACGGACAGUAUAUUUGUACCAGACGAAAUUGAACCCAUUUUAAACGGUUCAAAGUGCGGUGAAACGUCUAUGGAAAUUGAUGCAGUUCAAGAAUCUCCUUUUACUGACACCACAUCCAAUAAUCAACGUAUAAAAAAGACUUUGCCAAUAAAAGAUAAUGCUGGAACAACAACAAGGCUUAAUGGAAAUAUGAAAACUAUUACAGAACCAAAUAAAGAGGUGGAUAUUAUAUUUGUAUCAGACAAAAAUAAACCCAAUUUAAACGGUUCAAAGUAUGGUGAAACGCCUAUGGAAACUGACACAUCUAAUAACCAACGUAUAGAAGAGUAUUUGCCAGUAAAAGCAACAAGGCUUAAUGGAAUUAUGAAAACUAUUACAGAACCUCUUAGUGAUGAGAACAAAUUAAAAGAGAAUGUCAUAGAUAAUUCUGCAAGCAAAAUAAAUACACACCGCUCUUCAGUAUCUGUUGAAUCGAAAAAUAAAUCACCUUCUGUCAACAAAACAGGAGACAUGGCCAAUGAGACGGACAGUAUAUUUGUACCAGAAGAAAAUGAACCCACUUUAAACGGUUCAAAGUGCGGUGAAACGUCUAUGGAAAUUGACGGAAAUCUUUCGAACGUUGAUGCAGUUCAAGAAUCUCCUUUUACUGACGCAUCCCAUAACCAACGUAUACAAGAAACUUUGCCAGUAAAAGAUAAUGCUGGAACAAUAACAAGGCCUAAUGAAAUUGUGAGACCUAUUACAGAACCUCUUAGUAAAAAGGACAAAUUAAAAGAGAAUGGCACAGAUAAUCCUGGAAGCAAGACAAAUACAGACUGUCCUUCAGCAUCGGUUAAUUCAGGAAAUAAAACACCGUCUGUCAACAAAACAGGAGACACGGCCAAUGACACGGACAGUAUAUUUGUACCGGACGAAAUUGAACCCAUUUUAAACGGUUCAAAGUGCGGUGAAACGUCUAUGGAAAUUGACGGAAAUCUUCUGACCGUCGAUGCAGUUCAAGAAUCUCCUUUUACUGACACCACAUCCAAUAAUCAACGUAUAAAAAAGACUUUGCCAGUAAAAGAUAAUGCUGGAACAACAACAAGGCUUAAUGGAAAUAUGAAAACUAUUACCAACCAACGAUACCAGUGCGGUAAAACGUCUAUGGAAAUUGACGAAAAUCUUCCGAAUGUUGGUGCAGUUCAAUCUCCUUUUACUGAUGCAUCCAAUAACCAACGUAUAGAAGAGACUUUGCCAGUAAAAGAUAAUGCUGAAACAAUAAGGCCUAAUGAAAUUGUGAAAACUAUUACAGAAACUCUUAGUAAUACGAACAUAUUAAAAGAAAAUGACACAGAUAAUCCUGCAAGCAAAACAAAUACAGAACCUGUUAAAUCAGAAAAUCGAUCACCGUUUAUCGACAAAACAGGAGACACGGCCAAAAACAAUGGACAGAAUGGCAGGCGGAACGGCCAAAACCACUUAAUUUUUAUUGAAACUUGUAUAUUACCAGCGAUGUUAAAUCGGACGGAAAAUAUAGGUAAACAGGAGAUUUCGAAAACUAGAGAUAGUAAUGAAGAAAUCUUACCCUCGGUUUUGGACAAACGAUCUAAACCUGCUGGUACAGACAUGGAGGAACCAUUUUCCGAAAAAGACCCUAAAACGUACAUUAAUGGAGAAAUCAGUAAUUCAGAUAAGGAAAAUACAAGCGACGCUGGUUCAAAAUUACUGGAAAUGGAAUCUUCGCAAGAAAAGUAUUCUACCACUGAACUAAUCGAGAAAAACAAUCCAGAAACGCAUUCACAACUUUCGAUACCUGUAGAAUCAAAUAGAGACGAAGAAGCUCUUAAUGUGUCUGAAGUAAAUGAUAAUAUUACUAGCGGAAAUUAUGUGGAAAAGCCUAUGGAUACUGAAGAUCACGAAGCAACAAGAGAAUGUCAUACAGACGUUGCAAUAUCACCGGAGGAAUAUUAUGUAGUCAUACAGCCUGAUACAGGCCAAGAAAUACUGGAAACCUGCUCAGUAAAAGAAGCCAUUGAAGAAACGGGGACAACAGAAGCAACAUGUAACGGGUUGAUAGAAGUUAACAAAGAACACGCUAGGGAUAAUAAUAAUAUAAUAGAUAGGAAACUUCAUUCUGUUAUCAACCCGAAUUUGUUCAGUAAUCACACUGAGCCAACAGAUGAUAAUAUAAAAACAGAUGAGGACAAUAAUACAGACCAAGAAAGUGUGGAUCAGGAUCCAGCUUCUCCCGCCUUUGACGAACUUGACGUUCCUGAUGUAAAAACUUAUUUUGAGUCACAGGGAAUCAGUAAGGGAGAGGGAAUCAGUAGAGGGAAUCACAGGGAAUCAGUAGAGGAAUCAGGCACGUUUCUAUGUCCAAAUGAGGAAACUUCUUCGAUCACCGGAACUUCACAAGUAAAACCGACAGCUGAAACUAGGACACCUUCAGACGAUCCGUUACAACGUCCGUAUAAAAAUGCUAAAGAGUAUGUUGCAGUCUUUUGUGCCUCAAUAAAGGAGAAUUGUGACACGGACAAAGGAAAAACCAGCAGCGAAAGUAGCGAAGAAAACAUCUACGGUUUUGUCGAGCUUCCAAAAGAUGUUUUACCCAGUACAGAUUCGGCAAAACCUGAAAGCAUCGAGGAUAUUAAGAAGGAAAUACUAAAAACGGAACCUAGCGGUGCUCCACAAGUGCUUCCGUCGCCUACGCCUCAAAGAUGCGCGGUGACGAGAGCAAGUACGAAAAACGCGAACUCUGGAUCGAAUGUGAGAAAGCGUUCUGAUCCCUAUUCUGACGAACUGUAUCAGUACAACAUGGAGGGCGCUGUAGGAAAACCGCGUCGCGUUGGCAACGACGAAUACAGUCCGUUCGACAACUGGAGCGACGAAAGCGGAGACGUUGUCAGGUUAGGCAAAGAACCAACUCCUGCUCUUCCCAAUGGCGGUCGUAUUUCCGUGGUUUCGGCAAAUCAAGCGCCGCCACCUAGUAUCCUCAAGGUUAAAGCGGAACCGGACGGCAGAGCAUCGAAAUCGAAACGGAAAGCGCCCAGCUCUAAUAACUCUAACUCUCCCAGCUCUAAUAACAGGAGACGCACUAUCCAUGUGCCGGUAAGCGCGGGCGAAAUUAUUAACGAACCGACGACCCUUCAAGAAAAAAAACCGACUAACUUAAAUAAUUAUUUUAGUAAUUUGUAUUUGCCUAAUAGUAGUAGUAGUAGUAGUAGUAGUAGUUCAAAUGUACGGUUACAAAACUUAAACUUGCCAGUUUACAAUCACUUACCGUAUCCUAAUCCAUCUAACUUGUAUUGCGACAAUUUACAAAGUUCAAGCAAUCUAUUUUCUUCUCACAUAAAAUCAGAAAUCGAACAGUCGAAUAGUCAGGAGAAAAUCAUAAAAAGUGAAGAGUUUGGCGCAAUCACGAAGACAAUAAGCGACUCGAACGCCGUUCUAUACCCAGACAGCGUGUUUUGUACGGACACGGAAAAUCUGAACUACCUCAAUGCAGUGUUGCCGGCGCCAGUUCCCCAACUCGCGACGGACAGUCUGUUCCAAGACCACCUGAUGCCAAGUAUCGGGAAUUUUGUUAGUUCAGAAGAACCCGCUUAUCUCGGCCAGAACCUCGAUAACAAUCCAGUUUAUCCACACGGAAUGGGCCAGUUGCACGGAGAUUCUAAGGUAGCUUAUCAUCCUCAAACGACGAUGUACUCUUACCAUCCGACUCCCGUGCCGGAAGUCACUCAAAAUGUUAUGUCACAGAAUCCCCAACCUGUAAACGAAUGUACGAAAAAGAUGCCCUUUAAGAAACGCAAACCGUACGAAGAACACAAGAUGAACGAAGUCGUCAAACCCGAAUCAUAUCGCGUUUAUGAAGAUAUAUCGUACCCGGCCAAACGCCAGAUGUCUAUCGCCGAUCUACAGCGAUCCAUAUCGUCGGAUUUUCACCGGGUCGAUCGGUUUCCUACUCAGAUCAAAACGCCCGCGGCCAGAAAACUGUAUCCCGAAGGCACUUGUCAUUGUACGAACGAUCGCCACCGCGAAGGGUACCAGCAACACGACUGCAACAAAUCGUCGAAUUUUUUCGCGCGUAUUUUCAUCGACAGGCCUAGAGAGCGCUCGCCGAACUGUGCUUGUAACAAGAUGAGCUUGACGAUCGAAACGGGGCACAGGUGCAGCCAUACGCCCGAGAACGAUGGACAAUCGCCUCAGAAUUACAAGCGACACGCGCCCGUGUUGCAGUCGGUCCCCAACAACGUUCAGAGACCCCCAGAUAGGAGGGAGGAACCGGUGUACGAGCCUAAACCUAAACGUAGCAGGAAAGCGCCCGAGGUUUCUGAACCCAAAAGGAAGAGGGGUAGGCCUAGGAAGAAUCCCAAUUAGAAGAUCGUAAAAACGAAGAAUAUCGAAGAAAUCAUCGGAAGACGAUUGAAUAUUUUGAAUUAUUUUGUUUUUAAAAUAUACAAUUCCUUCCUUUAAAAAAAACUUUUAAGAGAUAUUCGUGCAUCAGUAUUAAUAAUAUUAAUCUUAUUUCAGUAUUUUUAUUCGUUCUAAAUAAUAAUACCGAUAACUAUAUGGCUGUGCAUUUAGUCUUUUUUUUUUGAAAACCUCACAGAAGAUUGCUAUUACUCGAAGAUGGUUAUUGCUGCGAAGAUACUGAAGAUCUGCGUUUAUUUUUGGUCUACUUGAACGAUUGAAAACUAUAAAUGCUAAUUAAAGAAGAAGAAAAUCGUUACAAAGAAUAUUUUAACUAGUUAAAAAUGGCUACUAUAUAUGAAGUGAUCGUAUUUUCGAUAUAUGUUUGACUUAUAUUUUUCACACUGUCUUUUAAAUUAUGUGUUAUAUUAUUGAAAAAAGAACGAUUAACGAAGAGAUCGAAGCUUCUUCAUACCGAAUAGAAAUUAAAAUGUAAUAGCUGUUUAAAUGUAAAAGGGAAUAACCGAAUUUUCUUUUUUAAGGCGCAAAAGUUAUUGAAGUUAGCAAAGGUGUGAAUCACAGCAUUCAACAGGCGAAUCAGAGGAAACGGCAACGAACAGAGUCUGAUAAGAAGUCGCCCACAAAAAGAACACAUGUUCGAUUUGACGUCAAA